GCGUCGGUAGUGCGGUUGGUUAGCACGCCCCUCAUAAAGGGUGAAGAGCGGGUUCGAUUCCCGCCUGACGUCA